GCCCGGGUGGCGAAAUUGGUAGACGCAGCGGAUUCAAAAUCCGCCGGUGGCAACACUGUGCCGGUUCAAGUCCGGCCCCGGGCA
rnacentral:tRNA from 1 species